ACUGUGCGAAGGUAGCAUAAUAAUUAGUUUUUUAAUUGAGAACUGGUAUGAAUGGUUGGACGAGAAAAUAGCUGUCUCAAUUUAAUUUAAAUUAGAAUUUUAUUUUUAAGUUAAAAAGCUUAAAUAUUUUUAAAAGACGAGAAGACCCUAUAGAGUUUUAUAUUAAAUUUAUAUUUAAUUUAUAAAGUAUUAUUUUUAUUUUAUUUAAAUUUAGUAUUUUAUUGGGGUGAUAUAAAAAUUUAAAAAACUUUUUAUUUUUUAUAACAUUAAUUUAUGAAUUUAUGAUCCAUUAUUUAUGAUUAAAAGAUUAAAUUACCUUAGGGAUAACAGCGUAAUUUUUUUUUAGAGUUCUUAUCGAAAAAAAAGUUU
rnacentral:rRNA from 2 species